UACGUAGGGUGCAAGCGUUAAUCGGAAUUACUGGGCGUAAAGCGUGCGCAGGCGGUUUUGUAAGGCCGUCGUGAAAUCCCCGGGCUCAACCUGGGAAUGGCGAUGGUGACUGCAAGGCUAGAGUUUGGCAGAGGGGGGUAGAAUUCCACGUGUAGCAGUGAAAUGCGUAGAUAUGUGGAGGAACACCGAUGGCGAAGGCAGCCCGCUGGGUCAAAACUGACGCUCAUGCACGAAAGCGUGGGGAUCAAACAGG
rnacentral:rRNA from 1 species